UACAGAGGGUGCGAGCGUUAAUCGGAAUUACUGGGCGUAAAGCGUGCGUAGACGGUCGUGCAAGUCGGGUGUGAAAGCCCCAGGCUCAACCUGGGAAUUGCAUUCGAGACUGCUCGGCUAGGGUGCGGAAGAGGGAAGCGGAAUUUCCGGUGUAGCGGUGAAAUGCGUAGAUAUCGGAAGGGACACCAGUGGCGAAAGCGGCUUCCUGGUCCGACACCGACGUUCAGGCACGAAAGCGUGGGGAGCAAACAGG
rnacentral:rRNA from 1 species